AUUGCUUCUGUUUCUUUCUUGUGCUCUAGACUAGUGAAUUCUUGCCUGCAAAGGUGAGUGAACCUUUCUUCCAGCCACCCUUCCACUUUCUGAUCUCAAAUGGAUUGGCAUCGAAAAAAAUGUUUCAAAAUGCAGGAUACAUGUGGGACUGGCUAAAAGGAGUCCUCAGUGAAAAGACUGGAAAACCACUGGCGAAAGUCAUGUCUGGAGAAGAGCAGGAAUAGACAGGAUCCACAGCUAGGACCUCGGCGGAGAAGUUAGAGAGGUGUGAUGGAGUGGAAGAAAGACUGGAUUUGGGGCCAGAAGGUGUGGGUACCAGCUUGGAACAGUGGAAAGAACAGAUUUGUAGACUGACUCCCUGAUCACAAUCUGUGCAGCUAGUCUCUACAUCUGUAAAUGAGCAUCGCUCCCAUGAAACGCCUGGCCCAGAGGUGCAAAAUACCCGUCUUCUCUGCAGAUCUCAACAAGUAUUUGUUGGGUGUCUUCUGGAUUCUGCGUUAGAGAAUGGUGGUGGCAAGAAACCAUCAGAGAAAGGAGAGGAAUGUAAUCUAGAGUUAGGUUCU
rnacentral:lncRNA from 1 species